rnacentral:rRNA from 16 species
GGAUGUGAUCAUACUAGAACUAAAUCAUCGGAUCGCAUCAAAACUCUGAAGUUAAGCAUGUUUGAGCGAGAGUAGUACUAGGAUGGGUGACCUCCUGGGAAGUCCUCUUGUUGCAUUCC